GAGUUGAGUUGAGUUGAGUUUAAGCAUGUUUUCCAUGGUAAUUAUAGUCAGAAAAGAAGGAUAAUGGAGUUAUGAUAAGGGAAAUGGUGGGAAAAAGCCUAAAGUAUUAGGAGAUUAUAGGAGAAGUGACUCCCAAAAUAGAAACAAGAAGAGAAGCACAACAUAGAAUGGAAAAGGACUCUCCGUUUAAAUUAAGGUGAGAUUUACUGUUUACUUAU
rnacentral:misc_RNA from 1 species